rnacentral:lncRNA from 1 species
AUGAUAAGUUGUUAAUAAGGACGACAGCUUCUAUCGAGCAUAGGUCGCUGUAGGCCAUAUGGGUUGGUUGUCCUCUUAACCAAGGAGUGUGGAGAUACUGGUAUGGCAUACAGGUGAGAUGUAAGGGUACAUCGUCAUUGAACGUGACCAACUCUAGAAUAUUCUGCUGUCGAGAAUAUCUCUGAUGGGAUAUAGGUAUAAGUGUCCC